UUUUUUGUGACCUAAUGGUCUCAGAAUGAAGCCCAGAAUUUCUGGUGUUCGCAAGCUUCGCUAGGCGAGCGUUGUAGCGAAGGGUUCGCUAGGCGAAGGAAUUGCUCGCCUAGCGAGCAUGCCAGCUUGGGCCAUUUUCUGGAUUGGGCCACUUGUGAGCUGGGCUUUUAUUCCUUUGAGAUCAGUGCCUUGCAAAAUGAGUUAGAGUGCCUUAGAAAUGCCUUGUAAUAUCAACGAGCAAAUUUUGGGGUAUGACACUUUGCGAUCAUUUU
rnacentral:lncRNA from 1 species